UCUUGACAUAAAUAAACGUCGGAUAAUACAAAUAUACAUUUAAAAUUCAAAGAUCUUGGCGGUGUCUUAUACAAUCAGGGGAACCUGUCCCUUAAUUCGAUAAUCCACGAAUGUCCGCCCUACCCUCGAAAUUCAGCCUGUGUACUGCCGUCGACAGCAUGCCUUAAAAAGUUAGCAUGCAACAAUAUAACCUUACUGACGUCAGGUCAAAGUGCAGCCAAUGGGUAGGGGGUGAUGGGUUACACUUUAUACACAAACUACCAACUCACCAAAUUAUUGAUGAAUAAAGCUGGACUUGUUAGUAAUAGCUAAAACUAAAUUACUAUGAAGAGGACUCUAAGACAUGCACACAUCGCCCGUCACUCUCGUCGAAAGAUG
rnacentral:rRNA from 1 species